UAGUUCUCACACUAAUGACAUCAAGUUUGUUCACACUUCUCUGUACCAUUGCCUUUGGGUAGUCCUCUUGUCCACUGACAAUAGACUUGACCAUGUCACUUUCUUUGAUCAGUGAGACAAGCAAAGAAUUGAAACGUGAUGGACCAUUGGAACUUUUCUUCUUUUGCUGAUUUUGGAAACCUGCUGGAUAACAAAGACUGGCCCAGUUUACCCCUUCACCUCAGCUGACAGCCAGCCAGCCCUCGGAGCUGUGACACCUACUUGACUGCAUCUGCUUGAGAAAUAAGAAGAACCAGCUGGUACCUGUAACAUAAAAGAACAGCAAGAAUACAGAAACAAAGCAAAUCAUGAUUCAGAAUGUCACAAUCAUCUUGGAUCUUUGCACUUGCAUCACAAUGGUGGGGAUCUUUUUAUCUUCAUGUAAAGAAGCCCUGGCUAGCCUAAUGUAGGAACCACCUGCAGCAGAAACAAGCCAUCCCAACGGAGGAGCCCUAAUGCCAAACAAGAAAGUUGCAACCAUCCUAAACUCUUCAGCCCCAAGCAAAUCACCAGCCCCAGUCACAUCACCAGCUGAUGGUAGAAAUGCUUCUUUGACCACCAGACUUGGAAUGUGCCUUCAGGAGAAAUAAGACAGGCAGUGAAGCUGUUCCUGCAGGCACUGCGCUUGCAGGGGGAAUAUGUUGAUAAGUGAUGCAAAGCCAGAUGAGGUCUCUAGACUCUCCAUAAAAUCUCUCUUUCUUCAACCAGGUUAUCUUACUUCU
rnacentral:lncRNA from 1 species